rnacentral:lncRNA from 1 species
UUGGGGGGUUGGGGAGCACUGUAAGCAUGAGGCUAAGGGCCAGGACCAAACUUGUCUCCUGUCACCCAGGAGCCAUUGUAACAUGUGGAGUGAGGACACCGCCCCAACUUAACUCCUGCAGGCUUCACUCCAGUGCAUCCCCAGGCCUGUUCUGAGUCUCCGUGCAUUCAUUUCACGAUGCAUUUGUUCCAGCAGAGCCAGCGAGCCUCAAUCCUUCUUAGGAAAAGAUGUGCUAGCUUCUUGUCUGUGAAACCAGUGAGAUUUCUCUGGGUCCCAUUUUCCUUCUCUGGCUUGUGGGGAUAACCAUAACCAGCCAACCAAACCAUUGUGAUAAUUAAGGGAUAUGCCUCUAAAGCACCUUGGGAAUUUAAGCUUCUGUGGUGCAUGCGGGCCAGGCUCUAUUUCUCAUCUGUGUGGGAUUUUAUUGCUGUGUUCACUUUGCAAAAAUUCAUGGAGCUGUGUACUUACCAUUUGUGUGCUUUCCUUUUUUUUUGCUUUUGCCUUUUCUUUUCUUUUCUUUUUUUUUUUUUUUUUUUUUGAGAUGGAGUCUUGCUCUGUUGCCCAGGCUGGAGUGCAGUGGCAUGAUCUUGGCUCACUGCAAACUCUGCCUCCCGG